UAUAAUAUUUUUGUAUUACUUGAUAAUAUUUUGUAUUAGUAACUACAAUGCUUUAAUUUGGAGUUAAAGUUGUUUAUAUUUAUUGUACUUUAUAAUCGGUAAACAGCAGUUAGAUGAUGUCACUUCCGCUAAAUUACUUCCUGUUGGUUGACUUCCGGUAUUUGUUCGAAAGCUAGAGAUACAUUUUGUGGUCUUCUGUAGUACUUUCUGUUGCCAUCCUACACAAAGCGGCGAAGAAGCAAUGCCUUUUUCACCAUCUUGUCUAUGAAGGAAUUGUCAAAAGUAAAUGGUCAAGCUUACAA